rnacentral:rRNA from 1 species
CGCUCUUUGUGAUUUUAAGUAUAAAGAGUCGGACCUGCCCAGUGACAUACGUGUUAAACGGCCGCGGUACUCUGACCGUGCAAAGGUAGCAUAAUCACUUGCCUUUUAAUUGGAGGCUUGUAUGAAUGGUUUGACGAGAACUAAGCUGUCUCCUUAUAAAUAUUUAGAAAUUAACUUAUAGGUGAAGAGGCCUAUAUGUAUCUAAGGGACAAGAAGACCCUUUUGAGUUUUAGUGAAGUAGAAAAUAAAUUUAUUGUUUUAUUUAAUUGAAUAAAAUGUUUUAAUUAUAUCUUAGAGUAUAAAUUAAAUUUUUUAUUAAUCUUUAGUUGGGGCGACUGAGGAGCAUAGUAAGCUUCCUUUAAUUAAAAAUAAUGACUGGCAGGUUAGUUUGAUCCAAUUUUGUUGAUUAAAGGAAAAAAUUACCAUAGGGAUAACAGCGUAAUCUUUUUGGAGAGUUCUUAUCGAAGAAAGGGUUUGCGACCUCGAUGUUGGACUAAGAUAUCCCAGGGGUGUAGAAGUUUCUGAGGGUUGGUCUGUUCGACCAUUAAAAUCUU